UACUCAGCCAAUUAUUUGCUCUAUAUUUAUUUAUUUAUUUACUAAAAAUCUUUUUAAAUUUAUUUACGAAAAAAAUUUGGAUGUUACACAGUCACCACCAUGACCAUUAUAAUUAUCACUGCCACCAUUACUACUAUCUUCAAUUGUAACCACUGAUGUUUUGAUGGACAAAGUACAUAAUCUAUAUACUAUCUAUAAAAGAGAUACCCCUAGAAAAUUCUAAAAUGUCCCUACCUAAGGUUGUGACACCUGUUCAUUUUCUUGGUUUUUUGGUCUUUUAACCUUUUCAUUUCCCACUCCCUUGGUUGCUCCACAUAUUGUUCCAGGUGUCUUCUUUUCUAACCUUUUCAUUUCCCACUCCCUUGGUUGCUCCACGUAUUUUUCCAUUUCUCUUUCUCCCGUGAACAAACAACGCAAAAGACUCCUCCACCACCACCACCUCCAAUCUCCGUCUUUCACACAGAGAGAGAUACUGUGUGUGAGAUCAGUUUUUGGUUCAUGGAUUCCUUUUCUCUUCUACACAAUUCCAAGCAUCUAUUCUUGGUUUGAACAAGUUUUGGGCUUUUGGUGAUGGUGGUGUAUGCGUGUUGGACAAGGUUUGGCUUCUCUUUCGGUGCUGUUUUCAUGCAUCCUUUCUUACAUGCAUGUUAGCUUAUCAUUUUUCUCUGUUCAUGGUACUUUUGUUGUUUUGUUUUUUAAUGUAGCUUUGCUGUUGUAUUUUCUUUUAUAAAUGUGUAACUUUUGACUUCCUAUUAUUGAUGUUUUUCUCUUCAUUU